GAGACCCAAGCACGCAACAGAGCGCGGGACCGGCCGCGCGACAGAGAGUGCGGUAGAGCGGCCGCGCGCUGUUGGCACAAGCGCAGUGGCCGCGGUGGCACCGGACGGCGCCCGGCGGCCACAGCGCGGCCCGCGCUGCCUCCCAGCAUAAACCGGCCCCGGCCGCCGGCAGCGGCACAAAGCCGGCGCGGCCCAAGAGCAAGCCCUGGCGAGGAGGAGGUCAAAGAGCAAGCGAUCCCCGUGAAUUCCGCCCUCCCAAAACCACGGCGGAGGGGAAGGGGAAAACACAGCCGACCUUAGAGCUGGCUCUCUGCCGCGUCCGAACCCCGACGACGAGGGCGAGCGGGGUGGUCAGAAGGGAAGCGAAGCGGAAGGGGCUGUGAGGGCAGAGGAGCAGACAAGGGGAAGGCUGCGGCUGUAGCCCCAGUGGGAUUUGCGCUGUCCUGAGCUGCUGCUGCCGCUCCCGGUCACAGGCUGGCAACGAACGUGACAAGAAGACACACCACGACACCCCCCAUGCCCAUCCUUUACCGCUGGGAACCAACAGCCCAGUUCCUCCUUCCCACUCCCAGACUCGUGGAAGCAUGAUUUUCAAACCACAGCCUGCUGCUGUAAGCCUUUAAUUUAACAAACUAAAGUAUUAGAAGGUGUUACUAUAAUCUACUGGGACCUGUUGCUGUAAAGUGACUUUGACAAUAUCAAAACACAAGGAAAGCUCAUGUAGCAAAGUCAAAACUAUGUAGCAAAAAAUGAACAUUUUAAUCCGAA